rnacentral:rRNA from 1 species
GACGAACGCUGGCGGCGUGCUUAACACAUGCAAGUCGAACGGUAAGGCCCUUCGGGGUACACGAGUGGCGAACGGGUGAGUAACACGUGGGUGAUCUGCCCUGCACUUCGGGAUAAGCCUGGGAAACUGGGUCUAAUACCGGAUAGGACCACUGCCUGCAUGGGUGGUGGUGGAAAGCUUUUGCGGUGUGGGAUGGGCCCGCGGCCUAUCAGCUUGUUGGGGGGGUGAGGGCCUACCAAGGCGACGACGGGUAGCCGGCCUGAGAGGGUGACCGGCCAAACUGGGACUGAGAUACGGCCCAGACUCCUACGGGAGGCAGCAGUGGGGAAUAUUGCACAAUGGGGGCAAGCCUGGUGCAGCGACGCCGCGUGAGGGAUGACGGCCUUCGGGUUGUAAACCUCUUUCAGCACCGACGAAGCGCAAGUGACGGUAGGUGCAGAAGAAGGACCGGCCAACUACGUGCCAGCCGCCGCAGUAA